rnacentral:lncRNA from 1 species
CUAGCUUGAUGGCCCUCUCUAGCUCAGUUGGUAGAGCAUGGCACUUUAGCACAACUUAACUCCUGUAAGGCUGUCAAACAUGUCCAAUCACCAUCCAGUUGUCCAUGUUUCAUAAUCAUGUAUAGCUUCUGCUUCUUUGAAAAAAGGACUCAGCCAUUAGUGUCUAUUGGUUGACUUAGCCAACCACCUGGGGGGGAAAAAAAAGCGACCAGACAAUGCACAUCGAGACAGAACCUUCUCCAACUUUUUCCUGGACUAUCAGCUUAUCAUAUAACAAGGUGUGGGGGAUGGGUAGUGGGGUGAGCUGCUGGAGAGUUCCGCCAGUGCCUGCAUCUGCUGUUCCAUUGAGGACUGCAUUGAACUUGUUGUCUAUGUAGAAGACAGCUGUCAGUAGUGGCUGGCUAUAGCAGGAGAUGCGGUCUCUGUGAGGAGGCAUCAGACUGGAGUUUGUUCUGAGAGUAGAGAGAAGCUUUUGUCCCCAGUCUGUUUGAGCCUUCAGACUACACGUCAGUAACAGUUCCACAGACAUGUGUCUACUCUCAUUUAGGCUCUUUCUGACAGAUGGCCGAGGAACAUCAUGCCAAAGAUGAUCACAUGUCAGGGAUGGUUGAUGUUGAGGGAAUCUGUCCUUCUGUUUCUCUCUCUCUCCCUUUCUCACGUAUGCACAUAUGCACACAUGCGCACACACAUUCACACACACACAAACACACAUACUCCCUCACAUGUAAUUAACCUCUCUAGGGUCGGCGGGACGAAAUCGUCCCACCUACGUAGCAGCCAGUGGAAUCCUGU